AUAAGAGCAAUGCUAUUAUUAUUCUUCUCUAUUUAGAUAGCUGUAAAACACUUCUGGCUAAUAUUGCUGCAAAGAAAAGAAACACAUCAUCCAUACAGUGUCCUCUUAUGGCAAAUGAUAUCAUUCUACCCAAGUUACAAGUUUUUCUCUCCAUUCACAUAAGUUUUUAUUUGUAGUAGAUAUCGCCUUUUUUUCCUCAGAUUCCUGCCCAGUUUCUUGUCCAGGUGCUAACAUGGGUCAUUUUCGAACUUGGAUGAUGACUCUGUUCAUUCCAGGACAUUGUCCAAUAUGAAGGAGGGACCUCUGCAUCUCAGCAGCCAGGAGUUCACUUUAAGAGUGCACACAUGAAGAUCAUGAGGAGCAGGAACUAAAUUUGCAUUUGGGCUGCUCUGCCACUGAGGACUGGAAAAGCAACACAGCUACAGGACUGAACUAUAGACACUGGAGCUCAUCUUGGACCUGCCAGACCUCUGUGCCUGGCAGCAAACUGCGGGGAGAGAAACACUGCCCAUGGUAAAGGUGAUUAGUGCUGGCACAGCUUGAAUAAACUGAACAUGUGUGAGUCCGUGGGAGCACGUGGAGUGCAGCAUGGUGCAAUGGCUGAGCUACUUACAAAGCUGCACUCCAUUGCCACAGAACAGCAGUAAGGAAACCACUGCACCCACUUUCCAACAUGAGUGGAUCAUCCCCAAUGGAGAAAUCAGGUCAGCUUAACCUGUAAAAAGUAAAGUUGUGGAGAAAGUCCUUCAGGAAGCUAUAUCCAGGCAUUGAAAUCACAACAGAAAAGAUGGUUUAACCUUGAGGAACUUUGUUUUCAGAUCCACACAUAAAUUUAAAAAUAUAUCCCUUGUUCCUUCUUUAGUUCCAUGCACUGUUUAUAUUUUCAUUGUCUGGCUUGGGGCAAACAGAUAGGUCUGUUAUGUUGGAGUGUGUCUAUUUGUCUACAGGGUAAACCUCACAGAGGCUGAUAAUGUUCCGUCAACAACAUCAUCAGAUGUUGUGGAUCAUUCAACUUUUGCCUCAUCAUCUCUCCACAUAUUUCCAACAGCAGACCCCAGUUUUGUUAUACUGGCUGAGUUAAACUAUUCCAUAUUAAUCAUAGUCAUCGUGAACUUUCCUGGGCAACACUGUCCCUGUGCUGACCUCCAGAAGACCAGGUAAAGGAUUCCUUCCAUUCUUCCAUCUUCACAGAGGCUUCUGGAUCCUGCUGGCUUCCUCUUACAAACGUCCUGCUGCAAAGCUCUUAGGAGACUUUGGGCAAGUUGUUGGUAAUGGGGACUAGACAGAAGACACUGCAUACAUAUAUGACAGGAAUAAAUUAAGGAUGAUUGAGUAAAA